AUUGAACGCUGGCGGCAGGCCUAACACAUGCAAGUCGGACGGUAGCACAGAGAGCUUGCUCUCGGGUGACGAGUGGCGGACGGGUGAGUAAUGUCUGGGGAUCUGCCCGAUAGAGGGGGAUAACCACUGGAAACGGUGGCUAAUACCGCAUAACGUCGCAAGACCAAAGAGGGGGACCUUCGGGCCUCUCACUAUCGGAUGAACCCAGAUGGGAUUAGCUAGUAGGCGGGGUAACGGCCCACCUAGGCGACGAUCCCUAGCUGGUCUGAGAGGAUGACCAGCCACCCUGGGACUGAGACACGGUCCAGACUCCUACGGGAGGCAGCAGUGGGUAAUAUUGCACAAUGGGCGCAAGCCUGAUGCAGCCAUGCCGCGUGUAUGAAGAAGGCCUUCGGGUUGUAAAGUACUUUCAGCGGGGAGGAAGGCGAUGUGGUUAAUAACCGCGUUGAUUGACGUUACCCGCAGAAGAAGCACCGGCUAACUCCGUGCCAGCCGCCGCAGUAA
rnacentral:rRNA from 1 species